CAGCAGCCGCGGUAAUACGUAGGGCGCGAGCGUUAAUCGGAAUUACUGGGCGUAAAGCGUGCGCAGGCGGUUUUGUAAGACAGGCGUGAAAUCCCCGGGCUCAACCUGGGAAUGGCGCUUGUGACUGCAAAGCUAGAGUGCGGCAGAGGGGGAUGGAAUUCCGCGUGUAGCAGUGAAAUGCGUGGAUAUGCGGAGGAACACCGAUGGCGAAGGCAAUCCCCUGGGCCUGCACUGACGCUCAUGCACGAAAGCGUGGGGAGCAAACAGGAUUAGAUACCCGCGUAGUCCCUGUCUCUUAUAC
rnacentral:rRNA from 1 species